rnacentral:rRNA from 1 species
UACCUAUACGUUGCCUCGGCGGAUCAGCCCGCGCCCCGUAAAACGGGACGGCCCGCCCGAGGACCCUAAACUCUGUUUUUAGUGGAACUUCUGAGUAAAACAAACAAAUAAAUCAAAACUUUCAACAACGGAUCUCUUGGUUCUGGCAUCGAUGAAGAACGCAGCAAAAUGCGAUAAGUAAUGUGAAUUGCAGAAUUCAGUGAAUCAUCGAAUCUUUGAACGCACAUUGCGCCCGCCAGUAUUCUGGCGGGCAUGCCUGUUCGAGCGUCAUUUCAACCCUCAAGCUCAGCUUGGUGUUGGGACUCGCGGUAACCCGCGUUCCCCAAAUCGAUUGGCGGUCACGUCGAGCUUCCAUAGCGUAGUAAUCAUACACCUCGUUACUGGUAAUCGUCGCGGCCACGCCGUAAAACCCCAACUUCUGAAUGUUGACCUCGGAUCAGGUAGGAAUACCCGCUGAACUUAAGCAUAUCAAUAAGCGGAGGA